UCCCCGAUAGCUCAGUUGGUAGAGCAAAUGACUGUUAAUCAUUGGGUCGCAGGUUCGAGUCCUGCUCGGGGAG
rfam:Halomonas ilicicola DSM 19980 genome assembly, contig: EJ56DRAFT_scaffold00004.4